rnacentral:rRNA from 1 species
GAUCAUGGCUCAGAUUGAACGCUGGCGGCAGGCCUAACACAUGCAAGUCGAGCGGAUGAAGAGAGCUUGCUCUCUGAUUCAGCGGCGGACGGGUGAGUAAUGCCUAGGAAUCUGCCUGAUAGUGGGGGACAACGUUUCGAAAGGAACGCUAAUACCGCAUACGUCCUACGGGAGAAAGCAGGGGACCUUCGGUCCGUGUCGCUAUCAGAUGAGCCUAGGUCGGGAUUAGU